UACGUAGGGUGCAAGCGUUAAUCGGAAUUACUGGGCGUAAAGCGUGCGCAGGCGGUGAUGUAAGACAGAUGUGAAAUCCCCGGGCUCAACCUGGGAACUGCAUUUGUGACUGCAUCGCUGGAGUACGGCAGAGGGGGAUGGAAUUCCACGUGUAGCAGUGAAAUGCGUAGAUAUGCGGAGGAACACCGAUGGCGAAGGCAAUCCCCUGGGCCUGCACUGACGCUCAUGCACGAAAGCGUGGGGAGCAAACAGG
rnacentral:rRNA from 1 species